GACGAACGCUGGCGGCAUGCCUAACACAUGCAAGUCGAACGGAACCUUCGGGUCUAUGGGCGCACGGGGGCGUAACGCGUGGUAACCUGCCCGUAGGUUCGGUAUACCUCACCGAGAGAGAUGCUAAUACCGGAUAAUCUCUUCGCAGCAAAGAUUUAUCGCCUUUGGAUGGGCCCGCGUGGGAUUAGCUAGUUGGUAGGGUAAAAGCCUACCAUGGGGACGAUGCAUAGCUGGUCUGAGAGGAUGAUCAGCCACACUGGGACUGAGACACGGCCUAGAAUCGUACGCGAGGCAGCAGUGGGGUAUAUUGGACAAUGGGCGAAAGUGUGAUCCAGCAAUGCCGGGUGAGUGAUGCAGGCCGUAGGGUUGUAAAGCUGCUUUACCCGGGAUGAUAAUGACAGUACCGGGAGAAUAAGCACCGGCUAACUACGUG
rnacentral:rRNA from 1 species